UACGUAGGGGGCAAGCGUUGUCCGGAAUCAUUGGGCGUAAAGCGCGUGUAGGCGGUUCGGUAAGUCGGCUGUGAAAGUCCAGGGCUCAACCCUGGGAUGCCGGUCGAUACUGCCGGACUAGAGUUCGGAAGAGGCGAGUGGAAUUCCCGGUGUAGCGGUGAAAUGCGCAGAUAUCAGGAGGAACACCGGUGGCGAAGGCGGGACUCUGGGCCGAUACUGACGCUGAGGAGCGAAAGCGUGGGGAGCGAACAGG
rnacentral:rRNA from 1 species